rnacentral:piRNA from 1 species
UCAUCGGAUGCGUCACGCCGAAGUGUGGC